rnacentral:rRNA from 1 species
CCUACGGUAGUCAGCAGUGAGGAAUAUUGGUCAAUGGGAGAAAUCCUGAACCAGCCAAGCCGCGUGAGGGAAGACGGCCCUCUGUGUUGUAAACCUCUUUUGUCGGAGAACAAAACCCGGUCCGUGUCCCGGACUGCGUGUAUCCGAAGAAAAAGCAUCGGCUAACUCCGUGCCAGCAGCCGCGGUAAUACGGGGGAUGCGAGCGUUUUCCGGAUUUAUUGGGUUUAAAGGGUGCGUAGGCGGUCCGUUAAGUCAGCGGUAAAAUUGCGGGGCUCAACCCCGUCGAGCCGUUGAACCUGGCAGACUUGAGUUGGCGAGAAGUAUGCGGAAUGCGCGGUGUAGCGGUGCAAUGCAGAGAUAUCGCGCAGAACUCCGAGUGCGAAGGCAGCGUACCGGAGCCAGACUGACGCUGAGGCACGAAAGCGUGGGGAUCGAACAGGAUUAGAUACCCUAGUAGUC